UGUAAAGUUCAAGCUCCGAUUAUGAGGGCGAACCGCGAAUGGCUCAUUAAAUCAGUCAUAAUCUACUUGAUUGUUUAAAGUUUAUAUGGAUAACUGUGGUAAUUCUAGAGCUAAUACAUGCACAAAUGGGGCGACUCUUGCAAGAGAGAAGCUCUGCGUUUAUUAGACUAAGACCAAUGAUCCAGCAAUGGAUCUUUAUUUAAGGUGACUCUGAGUAAAUAAUGGGUGAAAGCCCAUGUUGCUGACCUGACAUACCAAAAAGCUCGCAAGGGCUUGUCAGGCAAAUCAAUCGUGUGUCUGCUCUAUCAACUGUGGAUGGUAGGAUAAUUGCCUACCAUGGUGAUGACGGGUAACGGGGAGUUAGGGCUCGACUCCGGAGAACAAGCCUGAGAAACGGCUAGUAGGAUAAGGUCUGCAGCAGGCGCGAAACUUACACAAUGCUAGAUUACAAUUAGCGAUGUAGUGAAGAAAAAUAACGAUGUACUUCCUUUUAAACAAGGUAGUACAAUUGGAAUGAGACGACUAUAAACCAGUUAGUCGAGUAACAAAUGGAGGGCAAGUCUGGUGCCAGCAGCCGCGGUAAUUCCAGCUCCAUUAGCAUACAUUAAAGUUGUUGCGGUUAAAAAGCUCGUAGUUGAAUUUUAGGCGGGCUCUAUUGGGAUGCAAUCGUUAAGGUCCACUAGCUUCGGUUAGCUGGAUUGGUUGUCAUCGCCCUAUAGGAACCCGCUGUUUCGUCACUUAAUCGAGUGCGAAGCGGGCUGGUACAAGUUAAAACUUCGUUUUAUCUGUUUCAGCAUGUUUACCUUGAGAAAAUUAGAGUGCUCACAGCAGGCAGUUGGGGUGUAAAAGCUCCUUUAUGCUUGAAUAAUGUUGCAUGGAAUAAUAGAAUACGGCCUCGGUUCUAUUCUGUUGGUCUUAUAGAACAACAAACAAGUUGGUUAAAGCGAUCAAAAGUCUCUUUGCGGGUGUGGUUCAUCUGGUCGCUUUAUAGUUGCUGGCUCUACUAGUCACCGGUUGUGUUACCUGGGGCCUUAAAAUCUCAGCGUCGCACUGGCCUAUGUAAGCCUUCUUUACUAUUUAGCAAACCUAAUGUUCCAUUUAAAGCAUCCCUAAGCUGGCUAGCUUUCUAAUCAACUGAGGCAAUGGUUAAAAGAAAUAGUCGCGGCGGCAUCAGUACUGCAUCGUGAGAGGUGAAAUUCUUAGACCGAUGCAAGACUAACUGAAGCGAAAGCGUUUGCCGAGGAUAUUUUCAUUAAUCAAGAACGAAAGUUAGAGGUUCGAAGGCGAUCAGAUACCGCCCUAGUUCUAACCAUAAACGUUGCCAACUAGCAAUUGGGUUGCGAUUCCUUUAAUCGAAGCUUAAAACACUUCGAUCAUUAUGAUCCACCCAGCGGCUCUCGUAGGGAAACCAAAGUGUUUGGGUUCCGGGGGAAGUAUGAUUGCAAAGUUGAAACUUAAAGGAAUUGACGGAAGGGCACCACCAGGAGUGGAGCCUGCGGCUUAAUUUGACUCAACACGGGGAAACUUACUAGAUUAGAACUCUGGAAUGAUUGACAGAUUGAUAGCUCUUUCUUGAUUCAGAGGAUGGUGGUGCAUGGCCGUUCUUGAUUCGUAUUCCGAAACGUCUGCUUAAUUGCGAUAACGAGUGAGACCUCAUCCAACUAACUAGUCGUUUUAGUGCGCUGUGGAACGCAAAAGUCUGGAUAGGAUUUCUGUUAGCUGAUGAUAUGGUCUUCGGGCUGUAUUGUCAGUUAGCUGCCUGUUUUAGAUGUUCUCUGCUCGCUAGCGGACUUCUUAGAGGGAUAAACGGUGUUUUAGCCGUAAGAAACGAG
rnacentral:rRNA from 1 species